rnacentral:rRNA from 1 species
GAUGAACGCUGGCGGCGUGCCUAAUACAUGCAAGUCGAGCGAACGGACGAGAAGCUUGCUUCUCUGAUGUUAGCGGCGGACGGGUGAGUAACACGUGGAUAACCUACCUAUAAGACUGGGAUAACUUCGGGAAACCGUAGCUAAUACCGGAUAAUAUUUUGAACCGCAUGGUUCAAAAGUGAAAGACGGUCUUGCUGUCACUUCUAGAUGGAUCCGCGCUGCAUUAGCUAGUUGGUAAGGUAACGGCUUACCAAGGCAACGAUGCAUAGCCGACCUGAGAGGGUGAUCGGCCACACUGGAACUGAGACACGGUCCAGACUCCUACGGGAGGCAGCAGUGGGGAAUCUUCCGCAAUGGGCGAAAGCCUGACGGAGCAACGCCGCGUGAGUGAUGAAGGUCUUCGGAUCGUAAAACUCUGUUAUUAGGGAAGAACAUAUGUGUAAGUAACUGUGCACAUCUUGACGGUACCUAAUCAGAAAGCCACGGCUAACUACGUG